CGGAACGUGCCCAGACGUGGGGGAUAACUACUCGAAAGAGUGGCUAAUACCGCAUACGAUCUAAGGAUGAAAGCGGGGGAUCGCAAGACCUCGCGCGUUUGGAGCGGCCGAUGGCAGAUUAGGUAGUUGGUGGGGUAAAGGCUUACCAAGCCCGCGAUCUGUAGCUGGUCUGAGAGGAUGAUCAGCCACACUGGGACUGAGACACGGCCCAGACUCCUACGGGAGGCAGCAGUGGGGAAUUUUGGACAAUGGGCGAAAGCCUGAUCCAGCCAUUCCGCGUGCAGGAUGAAGGCCCUCGGGUUGUAAACUGCUUUUGUACAGAACGAAAAAGCUCUUUCUAAUACAGAGAGUCCAUGACGGUACUGUAAGAAUAAGCACCGGCUAACUACGUGCCAGCAGCCGCGGUAAUACGUAGGGUGCAAGCGUUAAUCGGAAUUACUGGGCGUAAAGCGUGCGCAGGCGGUUUUGUAAGACAGAGGUGAAAUCCCCGGGCUCAACCUGGGAACUGCCUUUGUGACUGCAAGGCUGGAGUGCGGCAGAGGGGGAUGGAAUUCCGCGUGUAGCAGUGAAAUGCGUAGAUAUGCGGAGGAACACCGAUGGCGAAGGCAAUCCCCUGGGCCUGCACUGACGCUCA
rnacentral:rRNA from 1 species